rnacentral:misc_RNA from 1 species
GAUGAAGAACGCAGCGAAAUGCGAUAAGUAAUGUGAAUUGCAGAAUUCAGUGAAUCAUCGAAUCUUUGAACGCACCUUGCACCCUUUGGCAUUCCGAAGGGUAUGCUCGUUUGAGUGUCAUUGUACUCUCACACUUCCGAUCUUUGGAUUGGGAGCAGUGGACUUGGGUGUUGCUGCUUACUGUGGCUCACCUCAAAUCGAUUCGUGCACCUCUUGGUUGGACAUAGUACGGCGUGAUAAGUGUCUUCGCCGGCACCUCAGUAGAGGGUGGCUGAUCGGGAGCUCUGCUUCAAACCGUCCUCGGACAACAACUGACAACUUGACCUCAAAUCGAGUAGGACUACCCGCUGAACUUAAGCAUAUCAAUAAGCGGAGGA